rnacentral:snRNA from 1 species
AUAAAUUAAUAAAUUAUAUAUACUAAAAUUGGAACGAUACCGAGCAUGGCUACUGCGCAAGGAUGACACGCAAAAUCAUAUAGAGUUCCACAAUUUUU